rnacentral:misc_RNA from 1 species
CAUUUUCAUCCUUACUCCUAAACCUAAGUGUAACAUUUACAACCAAAAUUGAUGAAAUCAGCUGAGGUUUUCACUUUCCAUGCGCAUAACCAGAGUCAUUGGAAUUUGGAACUUCUAUAGAACGUUCAAUAUACUUUCUACAAAAUGACCAAAAAAUAAAAAAAGAGUAUAUCCGUACCUUCUUUACACCUAGAAGAUCGAUUUCAUCUUCUGCUGAGGACAGGAUGGAGCAAACAGAUAGCCAAUCAGCAUAAGACAUAGUCAAUCCAAUUCAAAAAGCUGAUCCAGUUGUUCAUCUGUCCACUGCGGGCGUGAAAUCCCCCAAGGUGGUAGCUGUAUCCGCUUAUGUUUAUCAACAUCCCCACUUUCUUGGUUGUCAAAGACAUCAAUUAAACCUGUUGCAGCACUUGCAUAGUGGGUACCUUCCAAUAUAUUGCCACUGCCUGCCUGAGUUGAAGGGUUUAGUUGUUUGCAUACCACUUCUUCGUCAUUAGUAUCUUUAUUCAUUCCAUUAGCUACUUCUGUUGCCCCAUUAGCCACAAUUUGAUUUUCCAAGAAAAGUUCAUUACAAGCAUCUACGUUUUGGUUUUUAUUGUUUCCAUCACUAUAGCAGCUGCCUCUUGUUGCCCCCUCGCUUUCCAUUUUUUUAUCAUUAUGUGAACUCCCUCUUGUAUUAGCAUUUUGUCUGAGACUAUUCAUGAUUCCAUCAGUCCUUCCUUGUGACAAUGAGAGUGGCAUUUGUGGCAUCCAUGACUUUUCUUUGUGUUCAAAAAAUGGACCAGCAUGUUUGACUACUGGUGCAGCACAAUUUUGUGUUGAUGAAAGUUUGCUAUCCUUGGAGAUGACCUUAACCAUAUUGCUAAGUGUUAUGUUGAGGUAAUGUGCAGAGCGAGACGGGGAAAAAACUGCUACCUUUUGGACUAUUAUCACGGCUCCGAUAGAUAUGUCCUUUCCAAACUCCCGCUCAGUGAGAACUCUGCCAUGAAUGGUACCAUCAAUUGUACCUGUUGGAUCCUUUAGAGUCACCAUCACAUCACCAAGGCCAUUUGGAGUGCAAGAUUUAACAAUGGCAACAACCUGAGCCACUUUAUCCAUGUUAAUCCUGCUCUUUAUCACACUUAAAGGAAUCCCAAUUGCACCAUCCCCAUCUGCCAAACCUUGGCAGCGAAUAAAAUCCACGGCGCAGAGCCAGGGGUCGCCAGUGAAAUCAUCAUCAUCUUCGGCAACACCGUCUUCCACAACCCUCCUAAUGUACUCCUGCGUUGGGAUUGGCUCUUCACAAAAAUCCCCAGCAAAAUUUUCACCAUUUUGAUUCUUCCGACGGCGGAGCAUGGCGGAUUGAACGGAUCCUGCAGGACCAGGGAUGAGGCGAGGAGAGGAGCUGGGUGGGAGAUGGAAUUGGGAGAGAAGAUUUUGUGGGUUUUGGGAGGGUAGAGUUUGCGAGGAUUGAGAGAGAGAGCAGCGCUGGAGAAACGGUUGAGAGACAGAGGGUGCGGCAGCGGUGCUGGUUUGUUGGUUACGGCUUUUGAGAGGGCGGAGAGAAGGGAGGUCUGAAUCGUCUAGAUCUAGAGCUUCUUCCCAUGGUUGCGCCAUUUUGGUGAGGUUUUGAGAAAGCGCGGGAAGUAUUAG